GCGCAGCAGGCGCGAAACUUUACAAUGUGCGAAAGCACGAUAAGGGAACUCUGAGUGCCUCCUAAGGAGGCUGUUCAGGUGUCUAAAAGCACCUGAAGGAAGGGCUGGGUAAGACCGGUGCCAGCCGCCGCGGUAACACCGGCAGCCCAAGUGGUAGCCACGUUUAUUGGGUCUAAAGCGUCCGUAGCCGGCUGGGUAAGUUCCUUGGGAAAUUUGGCUGCUUAACAGUCAAGCUUUCAGGGAAUACUGCUCGGCUUGGACCGGGAGAGGUCAGAGGUACUCCAGGGGUAGGGGUGAAAUCCAUUAAUCCUUGGGGGACCACCGGUAGCGAAGGCGUCUGACCAGACCGGGUCCGACGGUGAGGGACGAAGGCUAGGGGCGCGAACCGGAUUAGAUACCCGCGUAGU
rnacentral:rRNA from 1 species